GCUGACCAACACCAGCACUCUGCCUGCCUGCUACGGCAUGCUGGACCAGGAAUAUGAGGAGAGUCUGCCACUGCUUUUUGGCAGUUUCAAACCCAGAGGAUUGAUUCUUCCUCACAGUUCAGAAGAGCUUCCUGUGUUUCUGCUGGCUAAGGCCAUUGGAAGGCAACAGCGCACUCUACGCAUUGCUGUGUUUGGUAGCUUCCAGCCACCCCUGGAGGUGGGGUUGUCAUGUAUUGGGCAGG